UACGAAGGGGGCUAGCGUUGCUCGGAAUCACUGGGCGUAAAGGGUGCGUAGGCGGGUCUUUAAGUCAGGGGUGAAAUCCUGGAGCUCAACUCCAGAACUGCCUUUGAUACUGAAGAUCUUGAGUUCGGGGAGAGGUGAGUGGAACUGCGAGUGUAGGAGGUGAAAUUCGUAGAUAUUCGCAAGAACACCAGUGGCGAAGGCGGACUCACUGGCCCGAUACUGACGCUGAGGCACGAAAGCGUGGG
rnacentral:rRNA from 1 species